CGGGGUGAGUAACGCGUGGGUAACCUGCCUCAUACAGGGGGAUAACAGUUGGAAACGACUGCUAAUACCGCAUAGGCGCACAGGAUUGCAUGAUCCAGUGUGAAAAACUCCGGUGGUAUGAGAUGGACCCGCGUCUGAUUAGCCAGUUGGCGGGGUAACAGCCCACCAAAGCGACGAUCAGUAGCCGACCUGAGAGGGUGACCGGCCACAUUGGGACUGAGACACGGCCCAA
rnacentral:rRNA from 1 species